rnacentral:rRNA from 1 species
CAGCAGCCGCGGUAAUACGUAGGGGGCGAGCGUUACCCGGAUUCACUGGGCGUAAAGGGGGUGUAGGCGGCUCGGUAAGUCGGGUGUGAAAUCCCACGGCUCAACCGUGGAAUUGCGCCCGAAACUGCCGAGCUUGGGGCCGGUAGAGGGAGACGGAACUGCCGGUGUAGGGGUGAAAUCCGUAGAUAUCGGCAGGAACGCCGGGGGGGAAGCCGGUCUCCUGGGCCGCGCCCGACGCUGAGGCCCGAAAGCUAGGGGAGCAAACCGGAUUAGAUACCCGGGUAGUCCUAGCCGUAAACGAUGCCCACUAGGUGUGGGGGAGUAUUUCCUCCGUGCUGGAGCUAACGCGUUAAGUGGGCCGCCUGGGGAGUACGCCCGCAAGGGUGAAACUUAAAGGAAUUGGCGGG